rnacentral:rRNA from 1 species
CCCUUAGAUGUUCGGGGCCGCACGCGCGCUACACUGAAGGACUCAGCGUGUCUCUCCCCCUAUCCCGAAAGGGAUGGGCAACCCGUUGAACCUCCUUCGUGCUAGGGAUUGGGGUUUGCAAUUAUCCCCCAUGAACGAGGAAUUCCCAGUAAGCGCGAGUCAUCAGCUCGCGUUGAUUACGUCCCUGCCCUUUGUACACACCGCCCGUCGCUACUACCGAUUGAAUGGUUUAGUGAGAUUUUUGGACUGGAACUCUCUUGUUCAGCAAUGAACGAGAGGGACUCUGGGAAGCUAUUCUAACUGUAUCAUUUAGAGGAAGUAAAAGUCGUAACA